UUCCUUACCUGGCAGGGGAGAUGCCGUGAUCACGAAGGUGACUUUUCCAGAGCAAGACUCAUCCAUUGCAUUCCAGAUGUGCUGACCCCUGCUAUUUCCCCAAACAUGGGAAACUCGACUGCCUCAUGUGUGGCCACGGGGGACUGUGUUCGUGCUCUCCCCUA